AUGAACAGCAUACGUUGGCAAACCACGCUGCUGUUCUCAGUACACUAUCUCUCAAGACAUUGCGAUCUGACCAGUGGAAAAACAGGAUGUGGUUAACUUUAUGGCUGUAAACGAUACUGACAUCUGUAGUGGUUAAAUAACUGCCUGCAUAUUGCCACGUAGAUAAUGCUGUUGUACUUUGUAUGUACGUGAUGUUAUACAAUAGUUAAAGGUCAUAGGCUGUUUAUGGAGACAAAAUAAUCCACGCCUCCAGGCGGAGGUAAAAUAAAAGCGGAGACCAGAAUUACGAGGGGGGCUCCGAAAUUGAACUCUGGUCUCACCGUGUCUCACUGUGUCGUGAUAUCUACAUCUGGUGACCUCGACGUGAUUCAGAACAAACACCCUCGUACCCACUGGCAGGAUCAGCCAACGGUGCACCUCAGCGUACAGCUCCCAUUCGUAGCUGCAGUACUGGCAGAAGUGACCAGGGAGAAACCGGUUCCGGCAUUUUCAGCAGUCGGAGUCUCUACCUGCCCCGCGGGUGCAGUUUCGGCAACUACCAAAUCCAGAGUGGAAAGGCCCAGUUCCGCUUAUAACGUGGGGUCGAGGUUACGCGGCUGUGUCUACGCCUGACGGUCCUGUGUGGGUACCUGCUAGGUGUAUCCGGCCCUGGAAAGACGAUGUCCUGGCACGAUAAUCUUAAGAAUCCCAUCCCUAAUUUUUCUCUGCAACUUCAGGAUACUGGGAUGUCUUCCAGGAAGCGUGGUCGGAAUGUUCCGCAACCUCCCGUGACUUGGGGCCAAAUAAAGAACUUAGCAACACAAGCAGAAAAAGCAAUGGAACAAGCCGGGGUGGACAAGACAACUGAGAAUACCAUUCUUGCUUUAAUUGCGUCUUUAAAUACAAAUUCUAUUUUUGUACUUUGCAUUUGUUGGAUUUUAGGAAGCGCCGGGGCUGACAGGUUGGGGCAGGAGUUGGGGAUGCGGUUUCAACACAAUAUCUGGGUUCAGUUAGCAAGAAUGACAAAUGUGAGUGACUUUUGCAUGACUGAACAUGUACAGGAAAUGGGUAUGUUGGGAACAUGUUUAAUACCCGUAUGCAAAGCACCUGGGGAUAUUGGGAACAUUACAGGACUUGGGCGGUUCAUGAAUACUUCAGAGAUUAAAUAUCAUACUGUUUCGAAUUGGGGAACUCCAACCUUCCAGCUGCCUGUUAAUGCUUUUCAAUUAUUUACAUCACAUGUUGCAAAUUCCAUUAAUAAUACGUGUGCUCGGAUGGUUAAUUGUAGUCGACAUAAGGUGCAGAAGGGAUGUCUAAAGGUUGGGA